rnacentral:rRNA from 1 species
ACGAACGCUGGCGGCGUGCUUAACACAUGCAAGUCGAACGGAAAGGCCCUGCUUUUGUGGGGUGCUCGAGUGGCGAACGGGUGAGUAACACGUGAGUAACCUGCCCUUGACUUUGGGAUAACUUCAGGAAACUGGGGCUAAUACCGGAUAGGAGCUCCUGCUGCAUGGUGGGGGUUGGAAAGUUUCGGCGGUUGGGGAUGGACUCGCGGCUUAUCAGCUUGUUGGUGGGGUAGUGGCUUACCAAGGCUUUGACGGGUAGCCGGCCUGAGAGGGUGACCGGCCACAUUGGGACUGAGAUACGGCCCAGACUCCUACGGGAGGCAGCAGUGGGGAAUAUUGCACAAUGGGCGGAAGCCUGAUGCAGCAACGCCGCGUGCGGGAUGACGGCCUUCGGGUUGUAAACCGCUUUCGCCUGUGACGAAGCGUGCGUGACGGUAAUGGGUAAAGAAGCACCGGCUAACUACGUG